CCCUUAGAUGUUCUGGGCCGCACGCGUGCUACACUGACCGGCGCAACAAGCUUUUUUCCUUGGCUCGACAGGCCUGGGUAAUCUUCGAACGCCGGUCGUGAUGGGGAUAGAUCCUUGCAAUUUUUGAUCUUCAACGAGGAAUUCCUAGUAAAUGCGAGUCAUCAUCUCGCGUUGAUUACGUCCCUGCCCUUUGUACACACCGCCCGUCGCACCUACCGAUUGAAUGGUCCGGUGAAGCCUCCGGAUUGGCGCGCACCCCGGUGCCGCCGAGAAGUUGGCUAAACCUUACCAUUUAGAGGAAGGUGAAGUCGUAACA
rnacentral:rRNA from 1 species